rnacentral:rRNA from 1 species
UCCGUAGGUGAACCUGCGGAGGGAUCAUUACUGAGUGAGGGCCUUCGGGCUCGACCUCCAACCCUUUGUGAACACAACUUGUUGCUUCGGGGGCGACCCUGCCGUUUCGACGGCGAGCGCCCCCGGAGGCCUUCAAACACUGCAUCUUUGCGUCGGAGUUUAAGUAAAUUUAAACAAAACUUUCAACAACGGAUCUCUUGGUUCUGGCAUCGAUGAAGAACGCAGCGAAAUGCGAUAAGUAAUGUGAAUUGCAGAAUUCAGUGAAUCAUCGAAUCUUUGAACGCACAUUGCGCCCUCUGGUAUUCCGGAGGGCAUGCCUGUUCGAGCGUCAUUUCACCACUCAAGCCUGGCUUGGUAUUGGGCGCCGCGGUGUUCCGCGCGCCUCAAAGUCUCCGGCUGAGCUGUCCGUCUCCAGGCGUUGUGAUUUCAUUAAUCGCUUUGGGGUGCGGGCGGCCCCGGCCGUUAAAUCUUUCACAAGGUUGACCUCGGAUCAGGUAGGGAUACCCGCUGAACUUAAGCAUAUCAAUAAGCGGAGG